rnacentral:rRNA from 1 species
AACGAACGCUGGCGGCAUGCCUAACACAUGCAAGUCGAACGAGACCUUCGGGUCUAGUGGCGCACGGGUGCGUAACGCGUGGGAAUCUGCCCUUGGGUUCGGAAUAACAGCGAGAAAUUGCUGCUAAUACCGGAUGAUGACGUAAGUCCAAAGAUUUAUCGCCCAAGGAUGAGCCCGCGUAGGAUUAGCUAGUUGGUGAGGUAAAGGCUCACCAAGGCGACGAUGCUUAGCCGAGCUGAGAGGUUGAUCGGCCACACUGGGACUGAGACACGGCCCAGACACCUACGGGUGGCAGCAGUAGGGAAUAUUGGACAAUGGGCGAAAGCCUGAUCCAGCCAUGCCGCGUGAGUGACGAAGGUCUUCGGAUUGUAAAACUCUUUUAUGAGGGAAGAACCGCCUGGGGAGGAAAUGCCCUGGGUCUGACGGUACCUCAGGAAUAAGGGACGGCUAACUCCGUGCCAGCAGCCGCGGUAU